GUCAGUGUGCCCGAGCGGUCAAAGGGGGGUAGACUCAAGUUCUACUGUGUUCGCACUCGUGGGUUCAAAUCCCACCGCUGACA
rfam:Phytophthora infestans T30-4 supercont1.10 genomic scaffold, whole genome shotgun sequence.